rnacentral:rRNA from 1 species
UACGGAGGGUGCAAGCGUUGUUCGGAAUCACUGGGCGUAAAGGGCGUGUAGGCGGUCCGCUAAGUCUGAUGUGAAAGCCCGGGGCUCACCCCCGGAAGGGCAUUGGAAACUGGCGGACUCGAGUCCCGGAGAGGAAGGUGGAAUUCCUGGUGUAGCGGUGAAAUGCGUGGAUAUCAGGAGGAAUACCGGUGGCGAAGGCGGCCUUCGGGACGGUGACUGACCCUGAGACGCGAAAGCGUGGGGAGCAAACAGG